AGCAUAGCGAUUUGGGAUAAGUCCCUUGGAAAAGGGCAGCACAGAGGGUGGUACUCCCGUCUUUGCUCAGAUUGUCUAUGUGUACGAUACGCUUUCUUUGAGUCGCGUUGUUUGGGAAUGCAGCGCAAAGUAGGUGGUAAAUUCCAUCUAAAGCUAAAUAUUGGUGCGAGACCGAUAGCGAACAAGUACCGUGAGGGAAAGAUGAAAAGAACUUUGAAAAGAGAGUUAAAGAGUACCUGAAACUGUUGAAAGGGAACCGUAACAUGUCCAGUGUUGUAUCUUGUGCAUAUUUCAUUAGUGGAGUAAUUUACUGGUGCCCUGUGCAUAAGUGUGACGUCAAAGUCAGUUUGUAUGCUGCGGGAGAUGGUUAACAAGGAGGUGCGUCGCUUUUGUGUCAGUUAUACCUUGUUAUCUAGUAGCCGUGGUUGAGACUGAGGUGCC
rnacentral:rRNA from 2 species